AACGCGAAGAACCUUACCAGGGUUUGACAUCUCAGGAAUUUCUCCGAAAGGAGAGAGUGCCUUAGGGAACCUGAUGACAGGUGUUGCAUGGCCGUCGUCAGCUCGUGUCGUGAGAUGUUUGGUUAAGUCCAUUAACGAGCGCAACCCCUUUACUUAGUUGGAUUUCUCUAGGUAGACUGCCCCGGUAACGGGGAGGAAGGAGGGGAUGAUGUCAGGUCAGUAUUACCCUUACACCCUGGGCUAGAAACACGCUACAAUGGCCGGUACAAAGGGCAGCCAAGUCGCGAGACGGAGCAAAUCCCAUCAAAACCGGUCCCAGUUCGGAUUGUAGGCUGAAACUCGCCUGCAUGAAGCCGGAAUCGCUAGUAAUGGUAGGUCAGCACACUACCGUGAAUACGUUCCCGGGCCUUGUACACACCGACGCGUA
rnacentral:rRNA from 1 species